GGUUAAGCGACUAAGCGUACACGGUGGAUGCCCUGGCAGUCAGAGGCGAUGAAGGACGUGCUAAUCUGCGAUAAGCGUCGGUAAGGUGAUAUGAACCGUUAUAACCGGCGAUUUCCGAAUGGGGAAACCCAGUGUGAUUCGUCACACUAUCAUUAACUGAAUCCAUAGGUUAAUGAGGCGAACCGGGGGAACUGAAACAUCUAAGUACCCCGAGGAAAAGAAAUCAACCGAGAUUCCCCCAGUAGCGGCGAGCGAACGGGGAGCAGCCCAGAGCCUGAAUCAGUGUGUGUGUUAGUGGAAGCGUCUGGAAAGGCGUGCGAUACAGGGUGACAGCCCCGUACACAAAAAUGCACAUGCUGUGAGCUCGAUGAGUAGGGCGGGACACGUGGUAUCCUGUCUGAAUAUGGGGGGACCAUCCUCCAAGGCUAAAUACUCCUGACUGACCGAUAGUGAACCAGUACCGUGAGGGAAAGGCGAAAAGAACCCCGGCGAGGGGAGUGAAAAAGAACCUGAAACCGUGUACGUACAAGCAGUGGGAGCCUCUUUAUGGGGUGACUGCGUACCUUUUGUAUAAUGGGUCAGCGACUUAUAUUCUGUAGCAAGGUUAACCGAAUAGGGGAGCCGAAGGGAAACCGAGUCUUAACUGGGCGUUAAGUUGCAGGGUAUAGACCCGAAACCCGGUGAUCUAGCCAUGGGCAGGUUGAAGGUUGGGUAACACUAACUGGAGGACCGAACCGACUAAUGUUGAAAAAUUAGCGGAUGACUUGUGGCUGGGGGUGAAAGGCCAAUCAAACCGGGAGAUAGCUGGUUCUCCCCGAAAGCUAUUUAGGUAGCGCCUCGUGAAUUCAUCUCCGGGGGUAGAGCACUGUUUCGGCAAGGGGGUCAUCCCGACUUACCAACCCGAUGCAAACUGCGAAUACCGGAGAAUGUUAUCACGGGAGACACACGGCGGGUGCUAACGUCCGUCGUGAAGAGGGAAACAACCCAGACCGCCAGCUAAGGUCCCAAAGUCAUGGUUAAGUGGGAAACGAUGUGGGAAGGCCCAGACAGCCAGGAUGUUGGCUUAGAAGCAGCCAUCAUUUAAAGAAAGCGUAAUAGCUCACUGGUCGAGUCGGCCUGCGCGGAAGAUGUAACGGGGCUAAACCAUGCACCGAAGCUGCGGCAGCGACGCUUAUGCGUUGUUGGGUAGGGGAGCGUUCUGUAAGCCUGUGAAGGUGUGCUGUGAGGCAUGCUGGAGGUAUCAGAAGUGCGAAUGCUGACAUAAGUAACGAUAAAGCGGGUGAAAAGCCCGCUCGCCGGAAGACCAAGGGUUCCUGUCCAACGUUAAUCGGGGCAGGGUGAGUCGACCCCUAAGGCGAGGCCGAAAGGCGUAGUCGAUGGGAAACAGGUUAAUAUUCCUGUACUUGGUGUUACUGCGAAGGGGGGACGGAGAAGGCUAUGUUGGCCGGGCGACGGUUGUCCCGGUUUAAGCGUGUAGGCUGGUUUUCCAGGCAAAUCCGGAAAAUCAAGGCUGAGGCGUGAUGACGAGGCACUACGGUGCUGAAGCGACAAAUGCCCUGCUUCCAGGAAAAGCCUCUAAGCAUCAGGUAACAUCAAAUCGUACCCCAAACCGACACAGGUGGUCAGGUAGAGAAUACCAAGGCGCUUGAGAGAACUCGGGUGAAGGAACUAGGCAAAAUGGUGCCGUAACUUCGGGAGAAGGCACGCUGAUAUGUAGGUGAAGCGACUUGCUCGUGGAGCUGAAAUCAGUCGAAGAUACCAGCUGGCUGCAACUGUUUAUUAAAAACACAGCACUGUGCAAACACGAAAGUGGACGUAUACGGUGUGACGCCUGCCCGGUGCCGGAAGGUUAAUUGAUGGGGUCAGCCGCAAGGCGAAGCUCUUGAUCGAAGCCCCGGUAAACGGCGGCCGUAACUAUAACGGUCCUAAGGUAGCGAAAUUCCUUGUCGGGUAAGUUCCGACCUGCACGAAUGGCGUAAUGAUGGCCAGGCUGUCUCCACCCGAGACUCAGUGAAAUUGAACUCGCUGUGAAGAUGCAGUGUACCCGCGGCAAGACGGAAAGACCCCGUGAACCUUUACUAUAGCUUGACACUGAACAUUGAGCCUUGAUGUGUAGGAUAGGUGGGAGGCUUAGAAGUGUGGACGCCAGUCUGCAUGGAGCCGACCUUGAAAUACCACCCUUUAAUGUUUGAUGUUCUAACGUUGACCCGUGAUCCGGGUUGCGGACAGUGUCUGGUGGGUAGUUUGACUGGGGCGGUCUCCUCCUAAAGAGUAACGGAGGAGCACGAAGGUUGGCUAAUCCUGGUCGGACAUCAGGAGGUUAGUGCAAUGGCAUAAGCCAGCUUGACUGCGAGCGUGACGGCGCGAGCAGGUGCGAAAGCAGGUCAUAGUGAUCCGGUGGUUCUGAAUGGAAGGGCCAUCGCUCAACGGAUAAAAGGUACUCCGGGGAUAACAGGCUGAUACCGCCCAAGAGUUCAUAUCGACGGCGGUGUUUGGCACCUCGAUGUCGGCUCAUCACAUCCUGGGGCUGAAGUAGGUCCCAAGGGUAUGGCUGUUCGCCAUUUAAAGUGGUACGCGAGCUGGGUUUAGAACGUCGUGAGACAGUUCGGUCCCUAUCUGCCGUGGGCGCUGGAGAACUGAGGGGGGCUGCUCCUAGUACGAGAGGACCGGAGUGGACGCAUCACUGGUGUUCGGGUUGUCAUGCCAAUGGCACUGCCCGGUAGCUAAAUGCGGAAGAGAUAAGUGCUGAAAGCAUCUAAGCACGAAACUUGCCCCGAGAUGAGUUCUCCCUGACUCCUUGAGAGUCCUGAAGGAACGUUGAAGACGACGACGUUGAUAGGCCGGGUGUGUAAGCGCAGCGAUGCGUUGAGCUAACCGGUACUAAUGAACCGUGAGGCUUAACCUU
rnacentral:rRNA from 1 species